CCAAACUUGGUUUCUUUGAUUGACUAAAGAUUUUCGAAUUGGAAAGAAUGACCUUCGAUUCAAACUCAUGCAAAAGAAUGUAGUUAGACGAUCUCAGAAUGAUGAUGAUUGUGAAUUCAUGGACCUCCGUGAGAAACUGUCAAGGACCGGGCAGCCUCCACACAGUAGUCUGGAUACACGGCAGUGCCUGCCCGAGUCAAGGGAAACCAGUAUCCUGGGAAGGAUUCCUGUCUCAAGAAGUACAAAUGAUUUGCCCCAGAUGAACUCAUCAAGAAGUUCUUAUUCUGCUUGGACUUUAGAUCAUAUCAGACGAAGAUCACCAGAGAGAAUUGUAGGUUCUUCUAGGGGUCUGUCACCCCCCAGGAAUGUGGAGGACUUGCAAAGAAAGCCUUUAAGUAGGACAUAUGAUGAUAUGAGAUCAAUUCCAUAUAUGAGCAAAGAUGUUCAUAAUGCUCCCAGGCCCAUGAGUACUUCACCUUACAUGACAAAACCCACAUUGCCUCCUGGAUCUGUAAAGCCUUUGCCACCAGGCCCACCACUUAUAGGCCAACUGCCUCCACCGCCUGGUAUUGUGCAGAAAAGUUCAUAUACAGUAAGAGCUCCCUUCCUUUUAUUUAUUUAUUAUUUUUUUAAGACACAUUCACACAGCUUUCGCUCAGACUGCUGCUUAGUUGGAUGACUCGUCUAAUUUUUCUGUUUACUUUGUAUAAGUGAUUGUAAAUUGUACUGGACAGUAGUUCUGGUAUUUGUGCUAGGUAAUUUGACUUUUCAAUUAGGAAUGAGAAAAAUUCUUAAACAAUUAGCCGUAAAGGGAAAAUGUUUUUAAUUACAAAUUGUAGAUAAUUUUUUCAAAAAUAAUAUGUACACACUUUAUGAAAUAAUGUCUAAAUUGUUGUGCUACAUGCUGAAGGAUAGACCAGCUAGACAACUCUGGCUGGAUUUUUGUAGCCUUUUUUUCAUGAUUGUCAUGGAUUUAUGUAUCCUUUUUUAUGGUUUUCCCAUCGAUUUGGUGAACCAUGAACCAUCUUCUACACUUCUUCUGUGACAGCUACUCUUAUUUGCUCAGUUGGAUGGCCUACUUAUUUAUCUAUGAUACAAGUACUCAAUUAAUGGAAAUCGAUGAUGAUAACCAUGGGCACUAGGAAGGCUGCACUGUGUCAGACAAGUUAAAUUUAUUAAUUUUCCAGACAGAACGGCUUUACUAUUUCUUGAUGAGCAAUGUGAUAUGUCAGCACUAUGUCUUAGGACUUUAAAUUCCUCUAAAAUUAAAUGGUAUCUUCCUUUCCAAAAAAAAAAAGAUGCUUUUCUAUUGUUGCAUUAGAAACUGCCACGAGGAGAUGCAAUAUGAUGGUACAGUAUUGGAAUUUAGUGUAUGGUACAAGUGUGUUAUUUUGCAGGCAUUAUUUGAAAAUUUGCUUGUAACUCAUUUUCUUUCUCUUCCACCUGUAUAUGUCUGUGACUUCUGCCCCUAUUCCCUGUUGGAUCUGAAUUCUCUUAUCAGCUUUUUUGCAAAAUAUCUCUUAGCAUCAAGAUUUUCUAGACUGUUCUACAAUUUCUCAAUGAAUAAUGUCUGUUUAUAUUGUGGCACCAAAUCCUUCUUUGCAGCUUUUGCACAUUAUCAAUUUGCAAUUGCUAUUAUGCAUCUCUGACUUCUUUUGCUGUUUACCAUGCAGGGUGAAGAACAGCAAACUGUUGAUGGGCUGUUGCAUUCACUAGGACUGGGAAAAUAUGCCAUUCUUUUUAAGGCUGAGGAAGUAUGUUAUUCUACUCCCUCCCCCCCCAAAAAAAAGAAAAAAAAAUUAAAUGCUUUGCUGAAGCUGAGUUAGAAUAAAUUGAAACCUUUGUCCUUUUCAAUUUCAUGCUAAAUUACAUAAAUUCUAUGUAGUGUGAAGGUAAGAUGCCAUUUGACUAUGUAGUUUUUUUCUAUACACUUAUAUUUUGAGCAUGCAUGGCUUCCCAUGCCCUGUACUGCGAUUAGUAUAAGAUACAAGGGAUUCGUAUUUUUGCAUUUUGCUCUUGGCUGUUACACAAGUGCUUUAGUAGUGAUAGUGUGGCCUGGUAAUGUGUUUGAGAAUUCGUCAUAUGCAUAGUUAAUUCUAUGGUGUUCCUUGUGUUUAACUUAAACCUUAAUCUUCUUAAUAAACGGUAACCGUUGCAACUUCAUCUUACAAGAUUUUUUUAUGAUUUUAAUUUAACCUAGUCUUCUUAAUGAAUAGUAACCAUUGCAACUUCAUCUUACAAGAUAUUUUAUUUUUUUAUUUUAAUUUAACUCCCAUUUUUCUGUUGCCUGAUUUGAUGUAGGUGGAUAUGACCGCGUUGAAGCAGAUGGGGGAAAACGAUCUCAAGGAACUGGGAAUACCUAUGGUAUGCAUAAACUUCUUCCUUUUUGCGGUUUCCGCAUUUGCGCAUGCAGUUUAAUUCAUGUAUUGUACUCUAUAAUGUUUUUCAUGUCAUAUAUGGAUGUUUAAUGAUCUUUAAAAUGAUCAAAUGAGUAUUGAACAUUUUAAGCAUCCUUUUCCAGAACAGUGUGUCUGGGUGCAUUGUCAAGCUUGUGCAAUGAAAAAAGCACGUUUAGGUUGAGGAGUGAGUUUUUUUCCUUUAUUUUGACUCGGUUUAUUUAUACUCCGUCUCAAGUUUCAGGUUUGAGUAGGACUUAGGGCUAAAUUAUGGCUGAUUUUUAUUUAUUGAAUCAAUAGAAAAAACAAUCAUGACUUAUAAUUCGAGAGGUAGGUCAAUCUCUCCCUAAACUCCUAAUUAUUCCUAACACUAGACAGAACAUAAACCCUAAAUGACUCUUUAAUCUCUUAUUUAUACCUGAGCCCUAAUUAACGAAUAAAUAAAAUUACUAAACUGCCCCUGCCCCUGCCCCUUUAUAUUUGUGCCUAACAUAAGUUUUAUUGGUCUAACACUGAUUCAAGUGAUGACUUCAGUGUUCCUAAAAGAAUUCUCAUUUCAGUUUACUGUAUUAAUUCUUCAUCUUUAAUACAAACAGAUUCGCAAGAUCUCCCGUCAUGCUGAUCUUUCGGCUUGUUAUGUAGUUUCUGGUUUUUCAUGCAUUGCCUGAUGAAAUCUUGUUUGAUUAACAGGGGCCUAGGAAAAAAAUUCUCCUGUCUCUAUUGCCUCGCUCCAAACGGCACCCAUGACAACUACACUCCGAAAGCAAGGAUGUAUUUUAUGAUCAUUAAUUCUAUUUUGGAUGGGAGUUUGUAUUGAUGAAUCUUUUCCCAUCAAAGAAAUAGCUUUUAUUUCUGUCAUUUCCAGAAGAAAUUGGCCAAGAAUCAGUUAAUCACAUUCUUGCCUUUUUAACUCAAAAAGUUUCCUUUUUAAAAAAAAAACUCAAAAAAGUUGGAAUUCAGUAGAUAGUUGUGAGAAAUUUUGAUGGGUGGAAUAUUUUGCUGUCAUUUUAGUCUACACAUGUAUAUCGAUCAUUGCUUUCUCAUGUAACCUUUGUUUUCCAGUUGGAAUAUUUUAGAAUUCGAUUCUGAUGCCUUUUAUGUAAAGAUCUCUGAAUCCCGGGAUCGGAGCUGGGUUGCGGAUGUGGGUAACCUUAUCUUGAUAUUGCACUCAUUAUUUUAACCGUCUUCUUAGCCGUUUAUUUUUCAUAUUUUACUAAACCUGUUGCUGGUGCAAUUCAGAGAAGAGAAACAGAUUAACUGAACUGUACAAUGGAUAUCGACUACUUUUUUGAAAAAGAAGUUCUCACCAUAGGAUUUGGUUUGACUUUUGACUGUUUUAUCUAUCAUGUAUGCGUAGGACGGACAUGUAAUAAUAGUUGUUGUUGGUUAAAAAAUAAAAAUUAAAAUAAUUUUAAGAUUGCGGUUAUUUGGAUCCACUAAGUUUUUUAUUAAAUUUACUUUUAAAAAUAAUUUUUUAUGAUUAAAAUAUUUUAAAAUUAAAUUAUAAUUAUAAAUAUUAAAAUAUAAUAAGAAAUAAUUUUUUUUAAUUUCUGCUGUACGGCCAAGGCGGAUGUACGGUACAGCAGAAAAAGAAUUAAAUAUAAAAACAAUAAGAAAAAUAUUCCAAAAUCAGUAUGUCACAAAUAGCCACUCUGCCUAAAUGAAUACAUAAUAUGAAACAUGACAUGGGUGUUUCUUUGACACUAAACACACCUGUACAGAACUUCUCAGGCAUGUUAAAUAUAGGACAAGAAAAUGUAGAAUGAAGAAAACUCAUUUUUAUAUUCGCUCAGUUUUAUCAAACUCUAAUCAUAAAAUCUUAAUUAUAUUUGUUAAAUUCUAAUCAAUUAAGAAGUUUUAUGGAGGAAUCAAACAAUCAAUAUUAACAAUAGUUUGAAACACGUAUGAAAUUCUUAAACUUAUAUUUGAUUUUUGUUUUUUUUUUCUAUUCGAAAUUGAUAGAGAAAUAAAUUCAAAAUCCACAAGUAAACCCUGCAUGCAUAUGAAAAUGAUCUUUAACAAUCAUCGUCGUCGUCAAACCAACCUUUCAUGGACGGUGAUGAAGGCAUCGCCAUUGCCUAUCGUUAUUGCAAACAAAUAAGCUGCUGACUUCUUCUUUGAUUGUGUUUCUUGAGUUCUGCUUUUUCUCUGUUGUGCCGCUCUGUUUUCGUUUUGACAGUCCCAACUGAACGUUUAUAGUCUUCAAGUUUGGGUUUCUUUGUAAUUCUUCAAAAGAAGUGUUAAUUACUGCGUACGUUAUUCUGAUACUGGCUCAGGAAUGGGCGGAGGAGCUUGAUGUUUGCUGCAGCGGCUGCAUCUGUUUGCUCUUUUGCUGGCAUUGGAAUUUCAAUGGCAGCACGACAGCCAAAAACAGGCACCCUUAUAUCUUCAGUUAACAUUUGCCAAAAUUUGUAAUUGGGUUAAAACAAAAGGGGUUUACACUUCAGUUAUAAUUUGCCAACAAAUUCCUACAUAUCUAACAAACGUAACAAUCAUAUAUCCAUAAUUUUUUUUUUAAAACAAUAAGCAGAUAAUUAUUUGCAAUCUUCUCUGUUGAUUUACAUCACUCCCGUGAUCCUUUCAAAAGACUGAACAUAUCGUUAAGUGCAGCAUAGCUUUACAAAUUGCUUGCAUGAAACUCAAAAGGACUAUGUGUACAUCUCAUUUUUCAUAUGAAGUGGAAGAAACCCAGGCCUGCAAUUUAGAAAAUACAAGAACAGAAAAAACAUGAGCAACUGAUAUAAACUCAAUAACUCAUCGAUCAACUUUCAGUUUGAUCAGUCAUAUGUUCAUGCAUUCUUCUUGAACUUUGUGGGCUUAGUGCUGAAAUUGUCUAUGACUGAAGGGCGGGAGAUUUUCUUCUUGUGUGUUGUCUUCACCAGCUUUCCCACAACUUCUCCUCUUGAUCGGAGUCUAAACUUCAGUAUCCAUGGAACUUCACCUCCAGUUGGAGAAGCUUGGGCAAAAGGCAAAAACUUUCUUCAAAAAAAAAUAAAAAAUUAUGAAACAUUUAUCAAGGGUUUAUAAAUGAAUUUAAUAGGUUUAAUGAGUAAAAUCAUUAUUAUUAUAAAAAUUGGGUCUAAUAAGAGUACAUUAGGUAUUUUAAGUGGGUUUAUUGAGUAAAAUUUAAAAUUUCAAAAUUUGAAGGUGAAUUUAUUUAAUAAAUGGGUUUAGUGAGUAGUUUGGGAAGUUAAAAGUAGCCAUACCCUAAUUUUAAUUAUUGAUUUAGUGAUCACUAAUUGAUGGAUAUUAUAUUGUUACGGCUAAAGCAAAUUUGGUCUCUCCAAUUCCAGGAGUACCCGGUCAGCAGUCAGCACAAUAACUUGGUGCUCCAAGCCAAUAAUAUAAUUCAGCGCCACGUGAUCAUAAUUAAAAAAUAAAAAUCGAAAGUUAAGCUAUAAUUUUUGGUGGGAUUCUUCACUCAUUUUUUGUGCUCUAAACAUUUUUAAUUUUCAAAACAAUCUUUUGCCUCAUUCUCCUGCUUUUCAUCAGAAUCAAAUCGUUUUUAUCCCCUCCCUCACAUUUUUGUUGUUCUUUCUCUAGCCGUCAAUUAGAGAGAAGAGAAAGGAGGGAUUGAAAACCACUUCGUUCUUGCUCGUUGGUCUUGGAUGCCUCUUCAUUGUAUAUUGACGUAUUGAGGCAGGUUUUGGUAUUCCGUUGAUUGAAUCUCUCCACGUUCUUUUACCAUUUAGCAGCAAUUUUUGAAGUAUUCGUAUUGUUUUCCACCAAAAAGUUGAAAGUUUAUUGCAUAUAUUUGUAGCAAGAAGCGUAUAGUAUUAUCACACUUUGGGUUAAUUCGCACAUGAAAAUCCUCUUAAAAUGCUAAAAAAUCCAAGUGCCGUAACACAAGCAAAAGAACGAUAAUUACAUUUCUUCUGAAGUUCUUUCCUUCUUAAGAUGUCAACAAACAACAGAGCGGAGUUUCAACCUGCCACUUAAAAGAAAAAAUAAAAAGAAAAAAAAAAUCAGCAAAAUAUAUCCCGUCAGCAACUCAAAAUAGAUUUUGUAGCAAUUCCAUCACACAAGCAAUCUGAAAUAACUGAAAAUAUAAAAUACAACAGUAGUAUUUUAGUGUAGUAGCAAUACAAAUUUUUAUGUAGUGCAAAGAAAAAGCCAUCUAACUCGACCCUUAAAUAAAAUACCAUUCUCGUCUAAAUUCAAGCAAAAAAAUAUAUAUUAUAUCAUGCUAAAAUUUUCUUAAGCUCAGCGUACGAAGGUCGAAAAUUUUUUAGAGUUCAACGUUCUCAUAGCUCAAAAGCCAAUAAAAGAACAACAUAUCAAAUAAUUCGCAUAAUAUUGACUUUAAAAAAUUAAAGAAAAAUUUUAGGCUUCUGCAUCAGACGUCAGCUCCAGCUUCAUUCUCCAUCGUUAUCUUUCUCAUUGUUUGAAUGAUCCAUCUUACUCGAAUCAAUUAACCUGAGCGUGAGUCAAAAACUAAAAUGAAAUAAGCAGAGAAUCAAUAAGCCAUGGCUUAUGGGUCAAUUAAAAAAAAAACAAAAAAAAUCCAGACAUGCGAAGGCAAUAACAUAUCAAAUGGAGUACACUUAUUCAGGAUCCAGCUACGGUACCGUACCACUGGUUUUGUCUUUUGUGCCAGUAGUAUUGUAAAAUUUCAUUGAACCCCUUUCAUUCAAUUAAACUUUACCUCAUAAAUAUUAAAUUAAUUUCUAUUGCAUCUAUAUAAACAUUAUAAUUAGCACAUUAUACUAUUUGUUAUUUAUACAUUUUUCUUUUAUAUUGCAUAUUUAUCACAAUACCCCUCUCUUUAUCACAAAUACCAGCUAACCCGACCCGAAUUUCGUUUCCAUUUCCGUCCACGCCACCGGCCGAGGUUGGUACCGAUCGGAAGAUCGUGUGACGCCAAUCAUCUCCACGCCAUCCUUGUCACAAAAAUAACUGGUUCAACCCGACUCAGAUUUUAUUUCCGUUUUCAGCAACUCCACCGGCCAAGGUUGGUACCAAUCGGAAGCUUGUGCGACGCCGAUCAUCUCCAUGCCAUCCUUGUCGCCGUAAAGCAUUCAGAAAGCUGUCGAUCGAAGCCGUGAAAAGUCACAGAAUCCCCGCUUCAAUUCGUCGCAGUUUCUCCGGUUUCUGGUGACGCCACCACUUGGGUUUUGUUCUCCACGGUUUCCUCUGUCUUUUCUGACCAACCACAGCUACCGGAGGAGGCGAUUUGCCGUUGAUCGACCUUUGAAGGAUUCACGGGUUUAGGAGAAAUGAACUUAAUAUUUGUGAAGCAAAAUUAAAAUAAGAAUAAGUGAAAUGCCUUCAUGAUAUUUUACACAAAAAAAGACAAAAACGGUGGCAUGGUGCCACCGUUGCACGAUAGGCGAGUCCGUCUUAUUCCAUGCAAGUCAACUCAAUGGUGUUGACUUACAAACGUAAUGAGGUUGAAGGCAAGUUGCAGGCGUGACGUCGGUCCGCGAGACAGCCACUUCCGGUGGAUUGGCAACGAUCUAGUGCCAAUUCAGAGAAUUCAAUUUCAGGUCGUCGAAAAGAAAAGAACGUUAAAGAAUAAUUUGCCGAGGUUAAAAUGUAAUUAAUUUUUAAAUGUCAACUUUUUUUUAUAACUUUUGUGGGUAAAAACGAGGAAGAAUCCCACAAAAAAUUUAGCUUAACUUUUAAUUGUAAAACUUUUUUAAAUGCUGGCACCACAUGGCAUGGCAUUAAAUUAUUGGCUUAGAGCACCAAUUCACUGUGCUGAUCUGUAGCUCCUGGAGCAUAGAAGACUUUCUCCUUGGCUGUCCUAGACGACUAGCAUUAAACAGUGGGAGAAAAAAAAAAAAAACUUAUAUGGACUAACAUGUUGAGUUAGGUGCACAAACUAAUGAUAUUUUGUCAUAUAGUAAAGUAGUAGGUUACAUACAUUGUAGUAUUUAUUAGUAUUUUUAAUAUUAAAUUUAAUAUAUUCCACUUUGAGUAAGAACCCAUUAUUCUAACAUGUGAUAAAACACACUGUGUCUAUGAGAAUGGGACAGUCCCACUUUAAUUCUAAUUGCUUUCAAAUCUUAACGACCAUGGCCCCUUCGCAUUUUGCAUUAUAAACCAACCUAUCCUAUUAGGAUAUUGUAGUUUUGAAAAAAAAAUUUGAAAAAUAAGGCAGAGAGGUAGGUAUUGGAUAAAGUUUAACUUGCUAAUUUUCCUUCCAAUGCAAGUGGCUAACUAGAGAAAGUUUAUUGAAAGCCACUUAAUCGAGGCAGGCUAGUGGGGGUUGUAGCUUGAAAAAGAAAUGUUUGUUUAUCAACGAUAAAUUAAUAUGUGAAAUGUGCAUGCACUUCAUUUGCAGCCACCGGGAAACAUCCGCCAGCUACAGUAUUGAGUGACGUGUGUUCCAAAAAUGCUCAAAAUUUUUGAGUUUCGCCAUAACUGAGAAAUUUCUGCUUUCCCUCUUCAAACAAGGAAUGCGGCUUAUUGAGUUAAUCAUGUCGUUAUUUUCUUGUUAAGUCUUUAUUCACCAUGGUUGCCUGCGGAGUGCUUUCUGUUAGCAUAAUAUUGAUAUAUAAAUAAAUUUUAUAAUUAAUUGUUAAACGGGUCGUAUCUUGCACAACCGAUUCUUUCUCCCAUUUAAUUUGUCUUACUGAAACUGAACAUUGGUUUCCUUAUCGAUCAUACAACUGUUGAGUGUUGAAUUUUACCCCCACAACCCAUCUCCUUACAUAAAAUUAAUCUUGUUUGAUUUGACAAGUAGUUAAGUGCAUGUACUUGAUAGUAAUGGUGUGCCAUGUUUGCAGUUUAGUUUCAUUGCAUAUAAGGUAAGGUCUCAGCUUGGGGAAUUCACAGUAAUGAUGAGUUGACAUGAUAUAUGUCUUCACUCUGCACACUGUAUUUGAAAAUUCUUUGGUUCAAAUGUUCCAUCAUUACAUAAAGAAUUGAAUGUUUCCCAUAUGGGAUUGUGACUGAAACCGGAAAAAAGCUUCAAACAUUUAGAAAUAAGCUCGUGCCUUUUAGUUUUUCACAUCUGGGAAAUGAGGAGGAGGCCUGAAUUAAUAUGCUUUGCAGCUUUAGUCAAUCUUGUAACACUUCCUUUCCCUAGUGGGAUUCCUGCUUUAUCCUUAUCAACUUUCUUUUAUUUCACAACUAGAUAUAAAUUUAAUAGGCAAAUUUCAGAGGAUGAAGAUCUCUCUAACAAUAAGACCUUCCGUGAUACUUCUCAUUUUUACACCUACUAAAUUACGCAGCUCCUGCUUUAUGAUUUACAGGUUUCGCAGAAACAUGGUAAUUGCAAGAUGGCCGACAUGUGGCAUUUUUGCUGUUGUUCCACUAGCUAGCAGCCAGCAGGAUGAUUUUCCAAGUGCCGUCCCCAUUACUUUCACCACUUAUGACACGACUCCUCAUUUUUGAAUCGUGAGACCAAUUGCACUGUUUCCUCCUGCUAAAACAAUGCUCAGAUAUGUGGUUUUGAGGUUUUCUAGCAGCAUUCACAUACAUGGUGAAGUCAAGUUAUUAAUUUUCAUCACCAGAAUCCUUAUCAAUCAUUCCCUUUGUACACUUUUGCAGACUUUUUAGACCACAAAGACCUUAGAGUGAAAUCCAAAAGACUGUAGAGUUAUGUUAAGUGUCGUGAUAUUAUCAACAGCAAGCUCUAUUAAAGAUAUGCCUCGAAGUGUAAUUAAAAAGUAAAAAGUAGCCUUCUGUAGCAACCCCUGACUCGUCCUGAUUCCUCUUUACAGCUUUAAUCUUAAUCAAAUGAAAUUAGUAUAUAAUCUUGUUGCAUUAGUCAAUCUUAGCACUCUGUGUGGCUCAUAAAUAUGGUUUUAAAUUCCUUUAGGAUUUGUCCAGAAGAAAAGAAGGAAGAUAUAGAUUGGAUGAGCAAUGAGAAUUGGGGUGGCUGAUGGUAGGGCCCAUUGAUAAAUCAAAUCAAAAUGAAAUGAAAUGAGAAAUCAAUCAAUCAGCUAACCCACCCACCAUAAGCACAAUAACUCAAUCUAAUCCCCUCUUAUGGCCUCAUUUUAUAUUUUUAUUCCACAUAUUAAGAUAGUUAAAUGCUUGAUGACAGCAUGCCUACUUGGAAUUCUUCUCCUAAAGCAAAAAAAGGAAGUGGGAACUGGGAAUUUGGUUAGCUUGAGAGAUCUGUUGGUGGAAGAAAGUCUACCAAUGGAAGAUCAAGAUCUUGGCUAUAGACGAUGGAAUAAACAACGCAAUCUAAUAGUUUCCAAUAUGUCCUCAAAGUUACAAGUUUGUGGGGUCAUUUUAGAACAACUGUCCAAAACAAAUGCUUGCCUUAUGUAUACAAUAAUGUUAGUUGACGACUUGAUUCACCAGAAAACAUAUGCUUUUGGGUAUAAAAUAAUAGGCUUGCCUGCUCUAAGAAGAUAUGCCCAGAUCUUCUUGAAGACCAUUAUAAGUAUAUAUGCUUACAUCAUUACCCACUUCUAUUAUUCCCUUGUUUAGCAACUACUCUCCCUUAUUAUUAUAUUAGCUUUUGUAAAACAUGGUCAAGAUUUGAUAUAUUAAGCCCAUUUAUAAAAGAACAAAAAGUGAAAAAAAAAAAAUGUGGGUGGAGGGAUAAUUGCAGUAAGCCCAUUUAUAAAAGAACAAAAAGUGCAACUACUCUCCCUUAUUAUUAUAUUAGCUUUUGUAAAACAUGGUCAAGAUUUGAUAUAUUAAGCCCAUUUAUAAAAGAACAAAAAGUGAAAAAAAAAAAAUGUGGGUGGAGGGAUAAUUGCAGAGAAGCCUCAUUUGGUGCUGAAUAAUCACAUUUCUACAGGUUUCAACAUUGUAUAUACAUUAGUGGAUGGGACUGGGCACCCACUGCAAUUAAAUUUUACGUUUUAAAUUAACAUAUUAUAUAUGAUAAGGUUGGAUAAAGGACAAUACAUGAAUCCACUGACUGAUUUGUUAGUUUAAUUAGUAAAAUAUCUUAGAUAUGCAUUUAAGUACAGUGGAAGAUUUGUUUUGUUAAUUUCAAAGUAUAGCUUAUAAUAGCCCCUCUUCUUUCAGGUGAUUGCAUUUGCAUCAUUGCAUCCCAGCUUUCUUAGCUUUGACUUUUGUAAAUUAUUAGUUAUUAUAAUUGAUAAAACUAAAUAACUUUCAUCCUCUCCUUAAGCAUGGAAUAUAUGUUAUUAAUCACCAAGUGGUACCAUAAUAGCAUAUAUUUAAUGAAUAUUAUAAUUGCUUCCAGACCAUUAUUCCUCAUUAACAAAGCACACUGAAUCCUCUUUGAUGGAGAAAGCUUGAGGUGUUUCCACUGCAAAUUUGAAAAAAAGUUAUUAAAAAAUCAAUAUUGCAUGAGACGGCUUCUGUGAUCUGACUUUUCUUUUUCUCUCUUUUUUUUAUUGAACCUUAGUACGAUUAAAAUGCUGUUCAUGAUUAUAAAACUAUCCCCUAUUUUAGAUGCAAUGCAUUCUUGGAAGCCAUAGAGUGUUUACUAUAAAAGGAACACAAGCCAAACAACUCAAUACUCAGCAUCAUCUGUGUCUUAACGUAUAGGCCCUUUUAUCACUGGCUACAAAAACAAUAUCAUUCUUUGGGGAAAAAAAAAAUCAUCACAUUUGAAGAGACAUGGAAAAGGAGAUGACUACUGUUUUUUCUCAUACUUCAGAUGGAGAAAAUGCCUCUUCAGCCGGUUCCUGUGUUGAAAAGAAGCUCAGAUUAUUUGGGUUUGAGCUGAAUCCAUGCAACAACAACAACACCAACGACGAGACAUGCCGCCUGAAAGGUUCUGCAGAAGGAGAUGAAAGUGUCAACUCCUCAAACACUGCAUCUUCUGGAAGUGAGAAACCUAGCAGCAGCAGGGAUAAAAGCAGCCCCCCAACUGGUGAAUCUGACUACAAAAAAUUCGAGUGUCAGUAUUGUUUCAAGGAGUUUGCAAACUCACAGGCAUUGGGGGGUCACCAAAAUGCCCAUAAAAAGGAGAGAAUGAAGAAGAAAAGAUUGCAGCUUCAAGCCAGAAAGGCCAGCCUCAACUCUUACUUACAACCUUAUCAAAACAUGUACAACCUCAGUUUCAAUAAUACUUACCAUGGCUCCAAUACUGCAUCUACAUGGUUCUAUGAUCCUUCAUGCUACCCUUGUGAUAAUCAAUUCACUCUUUAUGAAGAAUCUCAAAUUAGCUUCAAUCCAUACGAUCAAGAUCCUCGUGUAUCAAAAUGGUGUAGUACUGCUACCAUACCAACUCAAACUCCAUUUCAUCAGCAAGAUUCUACCCCCAGUAUGUUCACUCGGACCGACAGAUCCGGAGACCACACGCCUGCACUCAUCAUCAAGCCCUCUCCUUUGUCUGCCGCGGCUUCUAAGCAAAGCUGUAAAUCUUUGGAUCUUCAGUUAGGUCUCAGCUUGGAAAGCGGCGUAUGAAGUACUAUCUAUACCAUACGACCCCAGCUACUCCAACAUUGUAAAUCCAGCGUUUGCUCGCUGUAACUCACCCAAGGAAAAAAAAAAAAUGAUCGGUGAUAUUGUAAGAUUCAUGCAAUUACGUACGUUCAUCAAGUUCAAUCUGAAAUUAUUAUGAAUGUCACACAAACACAUGCUAUCGAUCACGUUUGCAUCCAUUUCAAGAUACGGCAAUUCCUUGAACUUAAGACAGUUCAAAACAAUACGGGAGCUACAGUAUUUUCUUCAUUUAUUUUAGUUGACAUACAUAUAUAUAUAUAUAUAUAUAUAUACACACACACACAUACUUGUGUCCAUGUGUCGACCUUUAAUUCAACUUCUUGGCGACGCACUGCUAUCUAUAUAAAAAUUAAAAUAAAAUUUUAAAGACGAUCAACCUCGAAAUUUUUCAAGACAAAGUUACCAGGUUCACAUUUUUGACCGAUUAUUAAAAGUCCUAAAAAAAAAAAAAAAAGAUGAACCCGGCUGACCAGCUGUAAUUAAGCAUUAUAAUAUUAUUCGAUAAUAAAUAAACUUCCACAGAGAAGAUCUCAAAUCUAGCCACAUUAUCAACAAGUUAUUAUCAGAAACUAAUAAAUAUUGCGGCAGCUCUCUCUGUACACAACAACUGAUUAUUAUUUUUUAAAAUAUUUUUUUAAGUAUUGAAAUAUUUGAUUGAAUAGCUUUGUGGAUACAAAUAUAUACUUAUUUGAAUGAUUCUUCGAGGUCAAGUUUGGUUGAUUGCUAAUAAUAAUAUCGGUUGUGAUUUAUUUAAUUCGCAGUGACGUAGAGUUUAAGAUUAGGUUCGUUCAUAGCAAUAAUUGGUGGAAGUUCGGAACUAAAAUUUUUUUCUAUCAAAAUAUGAAACGUGCACAAAUUUCUUAACAAUAAUAAAAACUUAAGCCGUUUGUUCCUUACAAGCAUUGUAUUUGAUUCAUUGCAAUCAAGCAUUUCUAGUGGAGAUAAUUGGUCUCCUUUCGCUCAAUAAAAAUAUGUCACGCAUUUAAAAUAUUCAAGUGGAUAAAUAAAAGAUAAAUCGGUACGUCACAUUUAAAAUUGUAUAGUGCUUAUUUUGAGCUUGUUAGUUGGACUGAUUAAUAAAUCACAUUUUUAAAUAUCCAACUGGUCAUUGCCGCCAAGGUUCUUUGAAUUAUGUACAAACCCUAACGAAUUAUUAAUGAAAUGGACUCGUUAUUCCAAUUAAAUUUUUUUAAAAAUAUUGGGUUAACGUAUUAUGGGAUACAUGCAUUCCAAGUACGCCAUUAAUAACAAUAAUUGUAAAUCUUUACAUAGAAUAAUAAAUAUAUGUGCUUUCAUCUUUGAUAAUUCAGCGCAUGUAGAUGGAAUAUAUUAGUGAAAUUUAAAGAUUUUGUUUUAGAUUCUUGGGGCCCAGGCGGUUGAAUGUGUGUUGGCUGGAACAAAAUAAAAUAAAACAAAACAAUAGAUGUAUGAUAUAAUAAAGAAACAGCUAAAAUAACUUAUGUGACAAGUUAACAAGAACUAUUCUAAUAAAAAAAUUAUUAAGUUAGAUAAGUAGAUUGACGUGGGUACAAUAGAAUUGUAAUCGUUAUUCUAGAAGUUAGGCAUAACACGGUAUUAGCGUUUUCACUGAAUAAAUCAAAAUGCGAAUAUUAAAAGGCCAUUGGGUCUCCGAUGUUCAACUAUUUUAAUAAUAAUGUAAUAAAUAAGAAGAUCGAUUUGUGAACAACCACUUUUAUACUAUUAGUAGUAUAUAUAUUGCGUAAGACAUCAAGAGAAAAUUGGCGCAAAAGAGAAUCCUUUCCUCUACUGAUAGAGCACAUAAUAGAUUAUAGCUUCAUUUAGAUUUUGAGAUAACUCAUUAGCUCUUUCAGCUCAUCCUCCAUCUCAUAGUUGGCUAUAUCAACGAAAAUGAUGAUAAUUCCUCUAUAUAAAAGUUGAUCUAGGCCAAUAACUUUUCAUAUAUGAGUUUUGAGGUUUUAGAUCUAAUCAUUAGCCCUUCUUGAUAUUUCCUUUGAUGCUUUUCUGGCUUUUUAGUUCCAAUUUCAUUGUAAGGCGUGGUGUAUUGAUUGUAAAUGACAUGACAAGAUGCAUUUAUUAUUUACUGUUUUAUUUUCUUCCACAUAGUAUUUUUUUGUUUCUUCCAUUUAUUUGAUGAUAUAUAUUAUUGUAAAUGCUAACAUAUAACUGUUAUAGGUACCAUCCUGAUAAGAAUGCAAAUGACCCUGUAGCAGCUGAUAUUUUUAAGGAGGUUACAUUUUCCUAUAAUAUCUUGUCAGAUCCUGACAAAAGACGACAGUAUGACACCGCUGGUUUUGAGGUGAGAUGAACACAAGGGGCUAAUUUGUGAUUUUUUUUUUAAUGAUUUCAUCAACUAUUUCAAUCAUACAUUUGGAUGCGUGGGUUAGCAUGAAAUCAGUUGUGGAUGUGAUGAUAAUUUUCCAUAGGCUGUUGAAUCAGAAAGUCAAGAAUUGGAGCUAGAUCUUUCUAGUUUGGGAGCUGUGAACACCAUGUUUGCUGCACUUUUUAGGUAUAUUCUUUGUGAAUAUUUUCUUCUAUUCUUUAGAACUUUUCUGCAACUUGUGAAAUCAUUCCAAUGAUUUGAGUGGAAUGGCUUUUUCAAAAUAGUAAACUUGGUGUGCCAAUCAAGACCACUGUAUCGGCUACUGUCUUGGAGGAGGCACUUAAUGGCAUGGUAACUGUUCGUCCACUACUGCUUGAUCAACAUAUAACCAGGAAGGUAGGCAUUCUUAUUUCUUAGCUGCUACUGCUGUUAAGUUGUGUACUGAUUGAAUUGUUUUGCAUCUGAACAGGUUGAAAAGCAAUGUGCUCAUUUCUAUUCUGUUACAAUAACAGAAGAGGAAGCACGGGCUGGAUUCGUGUGCCGAGUGCAAUCAUCUGACAAAAGCAAAUUCAAGGUUUAUAAGAAUUCUGUCUCUAUUCCUCUGGGAACUAUACACUCGUUUUCAUCUUCUACACUGCUUUUCAGUUCUUUUUGAACGCAAGGCUUGACAAGCUAAUAAUAAUUGUUCUUUAAACUAAAUUCAAACUAGUGUGCUUUGUUUAUUUUAUAUUUGUAGCGUUUGUAAAAUCAAAUAAUAACAGGGAUAAGGAACUUUGGAUACACCACGUGUAACUUUUAGUUAUAGUUAAACUUUAGUAGAACCAUCUUUCGAUUGAGUAGCAAGAGAAAGUAUGUGCAGCCUGGGUAACUUCUUUUCACAACUCAUAUAGACCUUAUUUUUUAAAAAAAAAUUAAAAAAGCAAGUGGUAUUUUGGCGCUCAUAAACUUUUGGAAUAUUGUUGUUAUCACUUUAUUAAUACUAAUUGUCUAUUUUCUGAAUUACUUAAUGCAUUAUUAGUCAAAGGCUGAUCAUUUCUGUGAAGAGCUAAUUGCACAUAUGCUAGCAUGCUUCUUUCUUUGGUUGACCACAAAGGACUGUUGUAUCCAUAUCCUCUUGAGUAUAAAAAUCUUUCAUAUGGAAUCAGGAAUUGGUGAAAUUUCAGUCCUACUUGUUUAUUGUCUGAUUUCUUAUGUGCUAUAUUGUAAAAUUUAUAUUUUAUUUCAUCUUUUCUCCUAAAGCAGGUGUUCUAACUCAUUGGCUUUGUGCAGUUAUUGUACUUUGAUCGGGAAGGGACUGGUGGACUGAGCCUUGCACUUCAGGUAUUGAGCAGGUUUCUUUUCCUUUUUUUAAUCUCCUUUUGUGAAGUAUAGAUAAUAUACACACUCCUUUUAUAUAUUUUUUCCCUCUCUGUAAGAUUGCGCUCACAUUGUUUAUGAUGAUUUCUUUCUGGUGUAGGAGGAUUGCACAAAAACUGGAAAGGUUACGUCUGCUGGCAUGUAUUUUCUUGGUUUCCCAGUUUACCGGUUGGAUCAAACAGCCACCUCGGUGAGUUGAUUGUGUUGUAAAUAAAUAAUUUAUUUAUCAGGGAAUAUAGACAUAUAAAAAGUAACCUUCGUAAAUCUAGAUUUGGGUGGAAAAAAACUAUUAUAUAUAUAGAGAGAGAGAGAGAGAGAGAGAGAGAGAGAGAGAGAGCAAAGUUUCAAUGAUCUUAUAGUGCAUGCGUCAGAGUUCAAUAUUACAAAGGGUUCAAUUGGAAUUGUUUUUAAGAGAUUUAAAAGUGAUUUUAUAAAGAUAAAAGCUAAUUUUUGUGUUUGAUAAACUUUUUUUAAAAACGACUUUGGACAGAAUCACCUCAUCAUAUAGAAUUUGAUUUUGAAAAUCACUUUUAUACUUAAUAUGAUUCUAUAUAUAUUCUCAAAUAUAUUAUAAAAAUUUAAAAUUAUCCUUAGUAGUUAGAAAAUAAAAUCAUUGACUUUAUAGAGAUUAUUAUUAUUAUUAUUAUUAUUAUUAUAUAUAUAUAUUUUAUUCAAUGUUAUAUCAAAUUCAAUUAUUUAUAUUUUUACAGCAAUUUAACAGUAAGAUUUACCAAACAAAUAUGGCUGCUUUUAAAACUUACGAUACUUUUAAAAAUAAAUUUUACCAAAUAUUUAAUUAAUUUUCUUCAUAUUUGAUUAUUUAUACAAUACAACUAACAAUAAUUAUUUUAAAGAACAAUAUUAUCAAACUAGCCCAAAGUGUAUUUGGCAAAUUAGAGGUACUAGGUUAGAGACUUGUUGAUAUAAAUUAACAAACUUCAUCUCUACUUAAAAACUUUCGUAGAAUGAGGAAUCAAAAUGUUUUAAAUUAUAUACCAAAUGUUCUGGUAAAUUAUUUGUCAUUCAUUCAGUGAUUAAUAAUUUUUGACAAUUUUUAGGGGAAUUAAUUAUAUUACGCUACCAUUCAAUUGAUAAACAUUAUAUCAUUGAAAAUGGAAUUGUCACAUUAAAUAAGAAGGUAUUUUGAGACUCUUCUGAGGUAUUGACUCGGCUGGUUGGAUCAACAGCAAUAUUCUAACUGGGCUUGCUGUCAUGUGAUUGCAUUAAAGUUCUGGGCUGGUUGGAUCAACAGCAACACCCACUCAGAUUGAUUCUGAAAACACUUGACAUACAUCUGAGUACCCCCUUUUCUCAUAUGAAAAUGAAAUGAUCUUUCAUUGCAUAAUUGCAUUGAAGUUCUCAAAAUCCAAACGAGGGGUACAUUUAGCAUUACACCAUAAUUUUAGUUUUAGCUCAAAACACGAGGCUUAAGCCUUUAUUAUGUAUAUACACACAAAUAAUGAUAAUAAAGGUGUUAAAUCUUUGUCUUCGGUAAGAGACAAAUUAAAGAAUUUGAGUUCACACUUUUUGUUAGGUAAAAAGUCAGCCUCCCCCCGGCAAUAUUGAUGGUGAAAUUAUUGUCACUUCUCCUCGGAAUCAAUAAUUGAAUCAAAUAAUUACAGACGUCUCCCUUACAACUCCAUUACAUUCCACGCUUUCAUUGUUGUUCACAGGAUUUUGUCAAUAAUGGCUAACCAUUACAUAAUUGCGUCUUCUUAAUUCUUAAAUAAGAAACGCUCGACAGUAGUGAGCUUCACUUGAACCGCAUUUCAAUUCUCGGCGCAUGAUUCUGCGUGUGGUGCGGCUGGAAACAUAUCAUUUCCGAAAUAUAUAUCUCUGUCAGAUGGGGACCUCGGACUUAGUUUGAAAGAUAAUCAUGCCCGCUGGCUCUCUAAGAAUCUUCUUACCAAAAUGUACAUGACUUCGCCUGAGAUGUAACAUUAUAAUAACAAUAAUAAUGCGUGUGGAUAAAUUAGCGAGGCGGAUUCACUUUCCUCAUAACAGAAGAAAAAGGCAGAAAGACAACGAUCGCAUUGUAUUUUAAUAGUUCUAGUGGGUUCAGUGAACAGCCCUAAAGAUAGGAACUAGGAAUUAAUUAUUUGAAAACUAGUCAAUGAUGGCUCAGAAAAAAAAAUCUUGACAUGACAUUGGUCUCUUUUGGAUAAUUAUAAGCAGGAUAACAUUAUUGUAGUCCGUAGAAGGUAAAAAUCACAUUCGUCCAACCAAAUUCCAAAGCAGUUGCAAUGAAUCAUCAAAACGACAAAAGAAAAAAAAAAUGAGGGGGGUUAAUCACAAAACAACUAUUAUGGCACGCAAAGGAUUCAGGAACAUGCGAUACUAAAGAAAGGGCAGCUAUAACCACUAGGGCCUGGUUUAAUGGUUAGAGCCCGCACAGAAGAUUAAAAUAUGAGCGGUGUUGUAUAAAAUUUGAUGUAAAUUAGUCUCAGUAAUUAUAAAUUUGUAAAUAUUCUGAAUAAUAAUCUCUUAAAAAAAGAAGAAGAAAGGGCAGCUAUUUAUAACUUAAAAGUGGAGCUUUUUGGCCAUUGCCAUUGCCAGCCAAUUGUGACAAAUCAUUUUGCCAUUGGACUUCUUCUUCUCCAGAUGAUUAGGAAAGUGCCGCAAAUAUUAUGUCACAUGCCAACAACAGUGAGUUAAAAGUUCACACAAACGUCACAACACAACGCCUGAAUUCGAUCGCAUCGGCGGGCAUACACUAUCAAAAUUUUGCUUUGUUACCUACAGACUACAGUUGGUUGAUAGUAUUUAAUAAAAUUUCAAUUUUAAUUUGUUAUGGGAAUUCUUGUUGUGUUAAUGUUUCGCUUUCGUGGGAAUCGUCUUUUUCUCGUGGGCUCAUUUAAUAUCAGUUCGGGAGGGAUCGCUCUGUAAGUAAUUAAUUAAUUAUUAUUAUUAUUAUUAAUUAUAAAUGAAAUUUCAUUGCAGUGUUUUGACAGCAUUUAUUUCAUUAGCUUUUAAAUUAUUUUUAGUCCAUUUAGUACCAUGAUAUUAAAAAUUGGCAAUCGAAAUCACUGUCUAACCUACAACAGCUAUUUAGUAUUUAUAAAGAACCUUCGCCAUGUUUGGAAUUAACAACGCCGCAUACGUAAUAAUCUGGAUAAGAAAAUGAUCAUAAUUGCUUUAAAAGGAAGAAAAUCAUUUGCUGUACUUAAAAAAAAAAAAAAAAAAAAGGGAUGGAAAUUAGUGAUCAUCUAAUCAACGUUUAAUUGUAAAGUUUCUACUCAAAGUCUGCCCCAUUAACUGCGAUAUAAAUGAAUUACUUUUUCAGCUUUGAUUACGGCAAUCAAAUCUCCCACACUCUCCCGUCAUUUAAAUUAAAGCCACCCACCUCUUUCAAACGGUGCGUAUUAUCCAUCGUGACUUCAUGCGGCCCAAAACCCUCGCACGCGCACACUCACGUGCCGACAUCUGAUACCCGUGCGCAUUACACACGCUGCGUAUUUUACCGAAUACAGUAAUUUUUUUAAAAAUUUAACAGUAAGAAAUAACGAAAUCACAGCUAAUUUGUAAAAUCCCCUCCAUUUUCUCGUUCUCCAGUCGCUUUUGUCCUCUUCAGCAACAGCUUGGAUGUUCCAUCAAGUCUAGUCUAGGGUUUCCUUAUUCUUUUCUCACCAGUCUGUUAUUUUUCCGAGAAAAGAUUAAGAAAAAAAAAUGCGAGAGAAUUUGGGAGGAGCAAUUGUUUGUUUUUCGUUUUCGUCUAAAAAAAAUUUUCUGUCUCGGUAGUGGUUUCUAGGGCCUUUGAGUGGAGUUUUUUCACGUUCUUUUAUUGAAAAUGCCGGCUCAACGAUCCAAGUCCGAGAGAACCGAUGCGGGAAAGCAGCUCCGGCGGGACCCCUACGAGGUUCUCGGCGUCUCCAGGAACUGUACGGAUCAAGAAAUCAAGAGCGCCUACAGGAAAAUGGCUCUCAAGUAUGUCUUUUUUUUUUUUAAAGGUUUUUUUCUUCUUUGUGGCGUUUUCAUCGUGUAAUUCAUUUGCUACCGUGAAGUUCUUUGUUUAAGUAUUUUAUUCAAAAUAAAUUGUUUUAUUGUUAUUGUUAAUAUAUGAUUUGAAUUUGCUCGUGUUAAUGUAGACAUUGCGAUGGUAAAUACUAAAUAAUAUGAAUAUAUCAGAGUAAGAAGAAGAAUUAAAAUGAGCUAGAUUUUGAAGUGACAUAGUGUAGCUCGAAGUUGAGGCGGAACUUUGUCGCCUAUGUUGGUGGUUGGGAAGUUUACAGUCUGUUGGUGAUUGCUUAGGUCAAAGUUAUGGGCUUAACAUAGUCAUUACCUCGGUCCCUUGUCUCAUGGCAGAAUGCAGAUCCCGCUAAUUUGCUAUCUGAAUGGAGAAGAUUAAGGAAACUAGUUAUGAGAAACAAUGGCACUUCAUCGAGUGAGAUAUAUAGAUAGCUCAAGGAUACUUGCUAUUAGUGUUGCUGGUCUUUUGUAGUUUUAAUGACGACAUCUCUAACCUGUAUAAUAAUCGAGAUAGAGUAAAAAUCUGAAGGUGCAACUUUGAUUUACUGAUUUUGUCAUUCAAACCAGCUUUGCAUUGCAUUUUAACUUUGAAAAGGAGCAAUGUGUUCUGUUAAUGUGGUCGUUUUAUACUUUAGUCUCGUGUAGUGUGGUCGAGGUGCCUCAGUUCUAGGAUGAUUAUCUUAAAUUUUCUCUUCAAUGAGCACCACCAUGGAAGUCAUGAUAUUUGAGCUGGAAAUGGCUAGUUCUUUAUGCACAAGGUGGUUUUUAAUGCUGGAACUGUCAAGAAAAGUUGUACUUAAAAAAUUAAUUGGAGAAUGCUAGUGUGAAAAUUGAUUUCAAUAUGAUCAUAUUAGUAUACUGGUUCUUGUUCAGAGGAGCUCUGCCAGAUCAAAUGUUGUGACUGCAUUAUUAUGGAUCAUGGACAUUGAAACCACAUUGAGAAAAGCUUGGAAAAUCAGAAGUCUUGACUACAUUUUUUAUUGAUGACAAAAGAUACUGGAUUAUGAACUAAGAACCUGGUAAGACAAAGGCAGCCUUUACAAAAAUAAGUUGCAGAGAAUGGUGCUUUAAAACUUUCUUAUCAAUUGGAAAAAAAAAAAUGUGGUACUUUCAAACAGAGCCCAUUAGAAAGUGACAUACUACACAGAAAUAUAUCACAUUUUACCUUAAAAGUAGUGCUCAGUGAUCUUUGUUUUUCCAAGAAGCUGUAACUUUGUAAAAAUAAUGUGUAUAGUCUCUAUUAGUUAAUCACAUACUGCAUAAAAACUAUAAAGAAAUGAUAAAAAAAAUAAUGUGUAUAGUCUCUAUUAGUUAAUCACAUACUGCAUAAAAACUAUAAAGAAAUGAUAAAAAAAAUAAUGUGUAUAGUCUCUAUUAGUUAAUCACAUACUGCAUAAAAACUAUAAAGAAAUGAUAAAAAAAAUAAUGUGUAUAGUCUCUAUUAGUUAAUCACAUACUGCAUAAAAACUAUAAAGAAAUGAUAAAAAAAAUAAUGUGUAUAGUCUCUAUUAGUUAAUCACAUACUGCAUAAAAACUAUAAAGAAAUGAUAAAAAAAAUAAUGUGUAUAGUCUCUAUUAGUUAAUCACAUACUGCAUAAAAACUAUAAAGAAAUGAUAAAAAAAAUAAUGUGUAUAGUCUCUAUUAGUUAAUCACAUACUGCAUAAAAACUAUAAAGAAAUGAUAAAAAAAAUAAUGUGUAUAGUCUCUAUUAGUUAAUCACAUACUGCAUAAAAACUAUAAAGAAAUGAUAAAAAAAAUAAUGUGUAUAGUCUCUAUUAGUUAAUCACAUACUGUAGUAACUUUUUAGCAUAUGCAUUUUCUUUUGGGGGGGUGCUAGUCUGGGGGGCUAGCCUUGAUAGGUACCUGUCCGUAAAAAGGCAUGUUGGACACACUCCUCAUACCAUCCAUAGAGAUGUCAUAUUUGUUCGACAUUUAAGCUCCAGUCAUUUUGAAUUGUUCGGUCAAGACAGCAAUCAUUAGCCCUUCUUGAUAUUUCCUUUGAUGCUUUUCUGGCUUUUUAGUUCCAAUUUCAUUGUAAGGCGUGGUGUAUUGAUUGUAAAUGACAUGACAAGAUGCAUUUAUUAUUUACUGUUUUAUUUUCUUCCACAUAGUAUUUUUUUGUUUCUUCCAUUUAUUUGAUGAUAUAUAUUAUUGUAAAUGCUAACAUAUAACUGUUAUAGGUACCAUCCUGAUAAGAAUGCAAAUGACCCUGUAGCAGCUGAUAUUUUUAAGGAGGUUACAUUUUCCUAUAAUAUCUUGUCAGAUCCUGACAAAAGACGACAGUAUGACACCGCUGGUUUUGAGGUGAGAUGAACACAAGGGGCUAAUUUGUGAUUUUUUUUUUAAUGAUUUCAUCAACUAUUUCAAUCACUGCUGUACGGCCAAGGCCGAUGUACGGUACAGCAGCGGAACUUUGUCGCCUAUGUUGGUGGUUGGGAAGUUUACAGUCUGUUGGUGAUUGCUUAGGUCAAAGUUAUGGGCUUAACAUAGUCAUUACCUCGGUCCCUUGUCUCAUGGCAGAAUGCAGAUCCCGCUAAUUUGCUAUCUGAAUGGAGAAGAUUAAGGAAACUAGUUAUGAGAAACAAUGGCACUUCAUCGAGUGAGAUAUAUAGAUAGCUCAAGGAUACUUGCUAUUAGUGUUGCUGGUCUUUUGUAGUUUUAAUGACGACAUCUCUAACCUGUAUAAUAAUCGAGAUAGAGUAAAAAUCUGAAGGUGCAACUUUGAUUUACUGAUUUUGUCAUUCAAACCAGCUUUGCAUUGCAUUUUAACUUUGAAAAGGAGCAAUGUGUUCUGUUAAUGUGGUCGUUUUAUACUUUAGUCUCGUGUAGUGUGGUCGAGGUGCCUCAGUUCUAGGAUGAUUAUCUUAAAUUUUCUCUUCAAUGAGCACCACCAUGGAAGUCAUGAUAUUUGAGCUGGAAAUGGCUAGUUCUUUAUGCACAAGGUGGUUUUUAAUGCUGGAACUGUCAAGAAAAGUUGUACUUAAAAAAUUAAUUGGAGAAUGCUAGUGUGAAAAUUGAUUUCAAUAUGAUCAUAUUAGUAUACUGGUUCUUGUUCAGAGGAGCUCUGCCAGAUCAAAUGUUGUGACUGCAUUAUUAUGGAUCAUGGACAUUGAAACCACAUUGAGAAAAGCUUGGAAAAUCAGAAGUCUUGACUACAUUUUUUAUUGAUGACAAAAGAUACUGGAUUAUGAACUAAGAACCUGGUAAGACAAAGGCAGCCUUUACAAAAAUAAGUUGCAGAGAAUGGUGCUUUAAAACUUUCUUAUCAAUUGGAAAAAAAAAAAUGUGGUACUUUCAAACAGAGCCCAUUAGAAAGUGACAUACUACACAGAAAUAUAUCACAUUUUACCUUAAAAGUAGUGCUCAGUGAUCUUUGUUUUUCCAAGAAGCUGUAACUUUGUAAAAAUAAUGUGUAUAGUCUCUAUUAGUUAAUCACAUACUGCAUAAAAACUAUAAAGAAAUGAUAAAAAAAAUAAUGUGUAUAGUCUCUAUUAGUUAAUCACAUACUGCAUAAAAACUAUAAAGAAAUGAUAAAAAAAAUAAUGUGUAUAGUCUCUAUUAGUUAAUCACAUACUGCAUAAAAACUAUAAAGAAAUGAUAAAAAAAAUAAUGUGUAUAGUCUCUAUUAGUUAAUCACAUACUGCAUAAAAACUAUAAAGAAAUGAUAAAAAAAAUAAUGUGUAUAGUCUCUAUUAGUUAAUCACAUACUGCAUAAAAACUAUAAAGAAAUGAUAAAAAAAAUAAUGUGUAUAGUCUCUAUUAGUUAAUCACAUACUGCAUAAAAACUAUAAAGAAAUGAUAAAAAAAAUAAUGUGUAUAGUCUCUAUUAGUUAAUCACAUACUGCAUAAAAACUAUAAAGAAAUGAUAAAAAAAAUAAUGUGUAUAGUCUCUAUUAGUUAAUCACAUACUGCAUAAAAACUAUAAAGAAAUGAUAAAAAAAAUAAUGUGUAUAGUCUCUAUUAGUUAAUCACAUACUGUAGUAACUUUUUAGCAUAUGCAUUUUCUUUUGGGGGGGUGCUAGUCUGGGGGGCUAGCCUUGAUAGGUACCUGUCCGUAAAAAGGCAUGUUGGACACACUCCUCAUACCAUCCAUAGAGAUGUCAUAUUUGUUCGACAUUUAAGCUCCAGUCAUUUUGAAUUGUUCGGUCAAGACAGCAAUCAUUAGCCCUUCUUGAUAUUUCCUUUGAUGCUUUUCUGGCUUUUUAGUUCCAAUUUCAUUGUAAGGCGUGGUGUAUUGAUUGUAAAUGACAUGACAAGAUGCAUUUAUUAUUUACUGUUUUAUUUUCUUCCACAUAGUAUUUUUUUGUUUCUUCCAUUUAUUUGAUGAUAUAUAUUAUUGUAAAUGCUAACAUAUAACUGUUAUAGGUACCAUCCUGAUAAGAAUGCAAAUGACCCUGUAGCAGCUGAUAUUUUUAAGGAGGUUACAUUUUCCUAUAAUAUCUUGUCAGAUCCUGACAAAAGACGACAGUAUGACACCGCUGGUUUUGAGGUGAGAUGAACACAAGGGGCUAAUUUGUGAUUUUUUUUUUAAUGAUUUCAUCAACUAUUUCAAUCACUGCUGUACGGCCAAGGCCGAUGUACGGUACAGCAGCGGAACUUUGUCGCCUAUGUUGGUGGUUGGGAAGUUUACAGUCUGUUGGUGAUUGCUUAGGUCAAAGUUAUGGGCUUAACAUAGUCAUUACCUCGGUCCCUUGUCUCAUGGCAGAAUGCAGAUCCCGCUAAUUUGCUAUCUGAAUGGAGAAGAUUAAGGAAACUAGUUAUGAGAAACAAUGGCACUUCAUCGAGUGAGAUAUAUAGAUAGCUCAAGGAUACUUGCUAUUAGUGUUGCUGGUCUUUUGUAGUUUUAAUGACGACAUCUCUAACCUGUAUAAUAAUCGAGAUAGAGUAAAAAUCUGAAGGUGCAACUUUGAUUUACUGAUUUUGUCAUUCAAACCAGCUUUGCAUUGCAUUUUAACUUUGAAAAGGAGCAAUGUGUUCUGUUAAUGUGGUCGUUUUAUACUUUAGUCUCGUGUAGUGUGGUCGAGGUGCCUCAGUUCUAGGAUGAUUAUCUUAAAUUUUCUCUUCAAUGAGCACCACCAUGGAAGUCAUGAUAUUUGAGCUGGAAAUGGCUAGUUCUUUAUGCACAAGGUGGUUUUUAAUGCUGGAACUGUCAAGAAAAGUUGUACUUAAAAAAUUAAUUGGAGAAUGCUAGUGUGAAAAUUGAUUUCAAUAUGAUCAUAUUAGUAUACUGGUUCUUGUUCAGAGGAGCUCUGCCAGAUCAAAUGUUGUGACUGCAUUAUUAUGGAUCAUGGACAUUGAAACCACAUUGAGAAAAGCUUGGAAAAUCAGAAGUCUUGACUACAUUUUUUAUUGAUGACAAAAGAUACUGGAUUAUGAACUAAGAACCUGGUAAGACAAAGGCAGCCUUUACAAAAAUAAGUUGCAGAGAAUGGUGCUUUAAAACUUUCUUAUCAAUUGGAAAAAAAAAAAUGUGGUACUUUCAAACAGAGCCCAUUAGAAAGUGACAUACUACACAGAAAUAUAUCACAUUUUACCUUAAAAGUAGUGCUCAGUGAUCUUUGUUUUUCCAAGAAGCUGUAACUUUGUAAAAAUAAUGUGUAUAGUCUCUAUUAGUUAAUCACAUACUGCAUAAAAACUAUAAAGAAAUGAUAAAAAAAAUAAUGUGUAUAGUCUCUAUUAGUUAAUCACAUACUGCAUAAAAACUAUAAAGAAAUGAUAAAAAAAAUAAUGUGUAUAGUCUCUAUUAGUUAAUCACAUACUGCAUAAAAACUAUAAAGAAAUGAUAAAAAAAAUAAUGUGUAUAGUCUCUAUUAGUUAAUCACAUACUGCAUAAAAACUAUAAAGAAAUGAUAAAAAAAAUAAUGUGUAUAGUCUCUAUUAGUUAAUCACAUACUGCAUAAAAACUAUAAAGAAAUGAUAAAAAAAAUAAUGUGUAUAGUCUCUAUUAGUUAAUCACAUACUGCAUAAAAACUAUAAAGAAAUGAUAAAAAAAAUAAUGUGUAUAGUCUCUAUUAGUUAAUCACAUACUGCAUAAAAACUAUAAAGAAAUGAUAAAAAAAAUAAUGUGUAUAGUCUCUAUUAGUUAAUCACAUACUGCAUAAAAACUAUAAAGAAAUGAUAAAAAAAAUAAUGUGUAUAGUCUCUAUUAGUUAAUCACAUACUGUAGUAACUUUUUAGCAUAUGCAUUUUCUUUUGGGGGGGUGCUAGUCUGGGGGGCUAGCCUUGAUAGGUACCUGUCCGUAAAAAGGCAUGUUGGACACACUCCUCAUACCAUCCAUAGAGAUGUCAUAUUUGUUCGACAUUUAAGCUCCAGUCAUUUUGAAUUGUUCGGUCAAGACAGCAAUCAUUAGCCCUUCUUGAUAUUUCCUUUGAUGCUUUUCUGGCUUUUUAGUUCCAAUUUCAUUGUAAGGCGUGGUGUAUUGAUUGUAAAUGACAUGACAAGAUGCAUUUAUUAUUUACUGUUUUAUUUUCUUCCACAUAGUAUUUUUUUGUUUCUUCCAUUUAUUUGAUGAUAUAUAUUAUUGUAAAUGCUAACAUAUAACUGUUAUAGGUACCAUCCUGAUAAGAAUGCAAAUGACCCUGUAGCAGCUGAUAUUUUUAAGGAGGUUACAUUUUCCUAUAAUAUCUUGUCAGAUCCUGACAAAAGACGACAGUAUGACACCGCUGGUUUUGAGGUGAGAUGAACACAAGGGGCUAAUUUGUGAUUUUUUUUUUAAUGAUUUCAUCAACUAUUUCAAUCACUGCUGUACGGCCAAGGCCGAUGUACGGUACAGCAGCGGAACUUUGUCGCCUAUGUUGGUGGUUGGGAAGUUUACAGUCUGUUGGUGAUUGCUUAGGUCAAAGUUAUGGGCUUAACAUAGUCAUUACCUCGGUCCCUUGUCUCAUGGCAGAAUGCAGAUCCCGCUAAUUUGCUAUCUGAAUGGAGAAGAUUAAGGAAACUAGUUAUGAGAAACAAUGGCACUUCAUCGAGUGAGAUAUAUAGAUAGCUCAAGGAUACUUGCUAUUAGUGUUGCUGGUCUUUUGUAGUUUUAAUGACGACAUCUCUAACCUGUAUAAUAAUCGAGAUAGAGUAAAAAUCUGAAGGUGCAACUUUGAUUUACUGAUUUUGUCAUUCAAACCAGCUUUGCAUUGCAUUUUAACUUUGAAAAGGAGCAAUGUGUUCUGUUAAUGUGGUCGUUUUAUACUUUAGUCUCGUGUAGUGUGGUCGAGGUGCCUCAGUUCUAGGAUGAUUAUCUUAAAUUUUCUCUUCAAUGAGCACCACCAUGGAAGUCAUGAUAUUUGAGCUGGAAAUGGCUAGUUCUUUAUGCACAAGGUGGUUUUUAAUGCUGGAACUGUCAAGAAAAGUUGUACUUAAAAAAUUAAUUGGAGAAUGCUAGUGUGAAAAUUGAUUUCAAUAUGAUCAUAUUAGUAUACUGGUUCUUGUUCAGAGGAGCUCUGCCAGAUCAAAUGUUGUGACUGCAUUAUUAUGGAUCAUGGACAUUGAAACCACAUUGAGAAAAGCUUGGAAAAUCAGAAGUCUUGACUACAUUUUUUAUUGAUGACAAAAGAUACUGGAUUAUGAACUAAGAACCUGGUAAGACAAAGGCAGCCUUUACAAAAAUAAGUUGCAGAGAAUGGUGCUUUAAAACUUUCUUAUCAAUUGGAAAAAAAAAAAUGUGGUACUUUCAAACAGAGCCCAUUAGAAAGUGACAUACUACACAGAAAUAUAUCACAUUUUACCUUAAAAGUAGUGCUCAGUGAUCUUUGUUUUUCCAAGAAGCUGUAACUUUGUAAAAAUAAUGUGUAUAGUCUCUAUUAGUUAAUCACAUACUGCAUAAAAACUAUAAAGAAAUGAUAAAAAAAAUAAUGUGUAUAGUCUCUAUUAGUUAAUCACAUACUGCAUAAAAACUAUAAAGAAAUGAUAAAAAAAAUAAUGUGUAUAGUCUCUAUUAGUUAAUCACAUACUGCAUAAAAACUAUAAAGAAAUGAUAAAAAAAAUAAUGUGUAUAGUCUCUAUUAGUUAAUCACAUACUGCAUAAAAACUAUAAAGAAAUGAUAAAAAAAAUAAUGUGUAUAGUCUCUAUUAGUUAAUCACAUACUGCAUAAAAACUAUAAAGAAAUGAUAAAAAAAAUAAUGUGUAUAGUCUCUAUUAGUUAAUCACAUACUGCAUAAAAACUAUAAAGAAAUGAUAAAAAAAAUAAUUUUAAAAAAAAAAAAAAAAAAAAGGGAUGGAAAUUAGUGAUCAUCUAAUCAACGUUUAAUUGUAAAGUUUCUACUCAAAGUCUGCCCCAUUAACUGCGAUAUAAAUGAAUUACUUUUUCAGCUUUGAUUACGGCAAUCAAAUCUCCCACACUCUCCCGUCAUUUAAAUUAAAGCCACCCACCUCUUUCAAACGGUGCGUAUUAUCCAUCGUGACUUCAUGCGGCCCAAAACCCUCGCACGCGCACACUCACGUGCCGACAUCUGAUACCCGUGCGCAUUACACACGCUGCGUAUUUUACCGAAUACAGUAAUUUUUUUAAAAAUUUAACAGUAAGAAAUAACGAAAUCACAGCUAAUUUGUAAAAUCCCCUCCAUUUUCUCGUUCUCCAGUCGCUUUUGUCCUCUUCAGCAACAGCUUGGAUGUUCCAUCAAGUCUAGUCUAGGGUUUCCUUAUUCUUUUCUCACCAGUCUGUUAUUUUUCCGAGAAAAGAUUAAGAAAAAAAAAUGCGAGAGAAUUUGGGAGGAGCAAUUGUUUGUUUUUCGUUUUCGUCUAAAAAAAAUUUUCUGUCUCGGUAGUGGUUUCUAGGGCCUUUGAGUGGAGUUUUUUCACGUUCUUUUAUUGAAAAUGCCGGCUCAACGAUCCAAGUCCGAGAGAACCGAUGCGGGAAAGCAGCUCCGGCGGGACCCCUACGAGGUUCUCGGCGUCUCCAGGAACUGUACGGAUCAAGAAAUCAAGAGCGCCUACAGGAAAAUGGCUCUCAAGUAUGUCUUUUUUUUUUUUAAAGGUUUUUUUCUUCUUUGUGGCGUUUUCAUCGUGUAAUUCAUUUGCUACCGUGAAGUUCUUUGUUUAAGUAUUUUAUUCAAAAUAAAUUGUUUUAUUGUUAUUGUUAAUAUAUGAUUUGAAUUUGCUCGUGUUAAUGUAGACAUUGCGAUGGUAAAUACUAAAUAAUAUGAAUAUAUCAGAGUAAGAAGAAGAAUUAAAAUGAGCUAGAUUUUGAAGUGACAUAGUGUAGCUCGAAGUUGAGGCGGAACUUUGUCGCCUAUGUUGGUGGUUGGGAAGUUUACAGUCUGUUGGUGAUUGCUUAGGUCAAAGUUAUGGGCUUAACAUAGUCAUUACCUCGGUCCCUUGUCUCAUGGCAGAAUGCAGAUCCCGCUAAUUUGCUAUCUGAAUGGAGAAGAUUAAGGAAACUAGUUAUGAGAAACAAUGGCACUUCAUCGAGUGAGAUAUAUAGAUAGCUCAAGGAUACUUGCUAUUAGUGUUGCUGGUCUUUUGUAGUUUUAAUGACGACAUCUCUAACCUGUAUAAUAAUCGAGAUAGAGUAAAAAUCUGAAGGUGCAACUUUGAUUUACUGAUUUUGUCAUUCAAACCAGCUUUGCAUUGCAUUUUAACUUUGAAAAGGAGCAAUGUGUUCUGUUAAUGUGGUCGUUUUAUACUUUAGUCUCGUGUAGUGUGGUCGAGGUGCCUCAGUUCUAGGAUGAUUAUCUUAAAUUUUCUCUUCAAUGAGCACCACCAUGGAAGUCAUGAUAUUUGAGCUGGAAAUGGCUAGUUCUUUAUGCACAAGGUGGUUUUUAAUGCUGGAACUGUCAAGAAAAGUUGUACUUAAAAAAUUAAUUGGAGAAUGCUAGUGUGAAAAUUGAUUUCAAUAUGAUCAUAUUAGUAUACUGGUUCUUGUUCAGAGGAGCUCUGCCAGAUCAAAUGUUGUGACUGCAUUAUUAUGGAUCAUGGACAUUGAAACCACAUUGAGAAAAGCUUGGAAAAUCAGAAGUCUUGACUACAUUUUUUAUUGAUGACAAAAGAUACUGGAUUAUGAACUAAGAACCUGGUAAGACAAAGGCAGCCUUUACAAAAAUAAGUUGCAGAGAAUGGUGCUUUAAAACUUUCUUAUCAAUUGGAAAAAAAAAAAUGUGGUACUUUCAAACAGAGCCCAUUAGAAAGUGACAUACUACACAGAAAUAUAUCACAUUUUACCUUAAAAGUAGUGCUCAGUGAUCUUUGUUUUUCCAAGAAGCUGUAACUUUGUAAAAAUAAUGUGUAUAGUCUCUAUUAGUUAAUCACAUACUGUAGUAACUUUUUAGCAUAUGCAUUUUCUUUUGGGGGGGUGCUAGUCUGGGGGGCUAGCCUUGAUAGGUACCUGUCCGUAAAAAGGCAUGUUGGACACACUCCUCAUACCAUCCAUAGAGAUGUCAUAUUUGUUCGACAUUUAAGCUCCAGUCAUUUUGAAUUGUUCGGUCAAGACAGCAAUCAUUAGCCCUUCUUGAUAUUUCCUUUGAUGCUUUUCUGGCUUUUUAGUUCCAAUUUCAUUGUAAGGCGUGGUGUAUUGAUUGUAAAUGACAUGACAAGAUGCAUUUAUUAUUUACUGUUUUAUUUUCUUCCACAUAGUAUUUUUUUGUUUCUUCCAUUUAUUUGAUGAUAUAUAUUAUUGUAAAUGCUAACAUAUAACUGUUAUAGGUACCAUCCUGAUAAGAAUGCAAAUGACCCUGUAGCAGCUGAUAUUUUUAAGGAGGUUACAUUUUCCUAUAAUAUCUUGUCAGAUCCUGACAAAAGACGACAGUAUGACACCGCUGGUUUUGAGGUGAGAUGAACACAAGGGGCUAAUUUGUGAUUUUUUUUUUAAUGAUUUCAUCAACUAUUUCAAUCAUACAUUUGGAUGCGUGGGUUAGCAUGAAAUCAGUUGUGGAUGUGAUGAUAAUUUUCCAUAGGCUGUUGAAUCAGAAAGUCAAGAAUUGGAGCUAGAUCUUUCUAGUUUGGGAGCUGUGAACACCAUGUUUGCUGCACUUUUUAGGUAUAUUCUUUGUGAAUAUUUUCUUCUAUUCUUUAGAACUUUUCUGCAACUUGUGAAAUCAUUCCAAUGAUUUGAGUGGAAUGGCUUUUUCAAAAUAGUAAACUUGGUGUGCCAAUCAAGACCACUGUAUCGGCUACUGUCUUGGAGGAGGCACUUAAUGGCAUGGUAACUGUUCGUCCACUACUGCUUGAUCAACAUAUAACCAGGAAGGUAGGCAUUCUUAUUUCUUAGCUGCUACUGCUGUUAAGUUGUGUACUGAUUGAAUUGUUUUGCAUCUGAACAGGUUGAAAAGCAAUGUGCUCAUUUCUAUUCUGUUACAAUAACAGAAGAGGAAGCACGGGCUGGAUUCGUGUGCCGAGUGCAAUCAUCUGACAAAAGCAAAUUCAAGGUUUAUAAGAAUUCUGUCUCUAUUCCUCUGGGAACUAUACACUCGUUUUCAUCUUCUACACUGCUUUUCAGUUCUUUUUGAACGCAAGGCUUGACAAGCUAAUAAUAAUUGUUCUUUAAACUAAAUUCAAACUAGUGUGCUUUGUUUAUUUUAUAUUUGUAGCGUUUGUAAAAUCAAAUAAUAACAGGGAUAAGGAACUUUGGAUACACCACGUGUAACUUUUAGUUAUAGUUAAACUUUAGUAGAACCAUCUUUCGAUUGAGUAGCAAGAGAAAGUAUGUGCAGCCUGGGUAACUUCUUUUCACAACUCAUAUAGACCUUAUUUUUUAAAAAAAAAUUAAAAAAGCAAGUGGUAUUUUGGCGCUCAUAAACUUUUGGAAUAUUGUUGUUAUCACUUUAUUAAUACUAAUUGUCUAUUUUCUGAAUUACUUAAUGCAUUAUUAGUCAAAGGCUGAUCAUUUCUGUGAAGAGCUAAUUGCACAUAUGCUAGCAUGCUUCUUUCUUUGGUUGACCACAAAGGACUGUUGUAUCCAUAUCCUCUUGAGUAUAAAAAUCUUUCAUAUGGAAUCAGGAAUUGGUGAAAUUUCAGUCCUACUUGUUUAUUGUCUGAUUUCUUAUGUGCUAUAUUGUAAAAUUUAUAUUUUAUUUCAUCUUUUCUCCUAAAGCAGGUGUUCUAACUCAUUGGCUUUGUGCAGUUAUUGUACUUUGAUCGGGAAGGGACUGGUGGACUGAGCCUUGCACUUCAGGUAUUGAGCAGGUUUCUUUUCCUUUUUUUAAUCUCCUUUUGUGAAGUAUAGAUAAUAUACACACUCCUUUUAUAUAUUUUUUCCCUCUCUGUAAGAUUGCGCUCACAUUGUUUAUGAUGAUUUCUUUCUGGUGUAGGAGGAUUGCACAAAAACUGGAAAGGUUACGUCUGCUGGCAUGUAUUUUCUUGGUUUCCCAGUUUACCGGUUGGAUCAAACAGCCACCUCGGUGAGUUGAUUGUGUUGUAAAUAAAUCUUAAUUUAUUUUCAUCUCCACGUUUAUGUUUGCUUACUAUUUCUCUCGGUUUGGGAAUUAUUGUGGCUCUAGAUGGCGGCUGCAAAAGAUCCAGAUGCUGCCUUCUUUAAAAAACUGGAUGGGUUUCAGCCCUGUGAAAUAACUGAAUUGAAGGCUGGCACCCAUGUGUUUGCUGUUUAUGGUCAGUUCCUUAGCUUUUCUGUUCAGUUAGAUUUCUUUUCCAAAUAAUGCAUUUGGUGAAACCUUACCAACUGCCUUUUUAUUCUGUCACAUAUCUUUUAGGUGACAAUUUUUUUAAAAGUGCAAGCUACAUGAUAGAAGCCCUUUGUGCUGCCCCUUUUACAGAAGAAAAAGAGAAUCUUAGAGCUGUAGAAGCUGAAAUUCUGUCUAAAAGAGCGGAACUAUCAAAGUUUGAGAGUGAAUACAGAGAGGUGGAAACUUUGACACAUCCAGUGCAUAUCCAAUAUUAAAUCUUUAUUUUAGUUAUUCACUUGGAAAUAUUGACAGGUCCUGGCACAAUUUACAGAGAUGACCAGUAGAUAUGCACAAGAAAUGCAAGCAGUAAGAUUAACUUUGCGGAAACCUUGUGCCUGAACAUCUUUUGAGAAUUAGAUUCAUACAUUUGUAGUUGCUUAAAUGCAAUUUGCUUUGUAGAUUGAUGAGCUUCUAAAGCAGAGAAAUGAAAUUCAUGCCUCGUACACAACUGCCCCGCCAAUGAAGCGGAGUGCGAGUAAGAAUAGAAGUCGAGGCUCCCCCAAGGAGACUAAAGAAGAAGGCCAAGUGAGAGAUAAGAAACCUACAAUGAGGGAUAGACCGAAGAAGAAGAAGUGGUUCAAUAUCCACCUAAAAGCUGACAAGCGAAACAAAUGCUAAAACUGGGUAUGAUUGUCAUGUAAGCUUUCCUAAACUUGUUUCUAUUUUAAAUUUAAUAGUAAUUGAAGUAGGCUUUCACUUGUACUGUGCUAAUUUAAAAUAGUGUCGGACUCUACCACCCUUAGAUGAAAACUUGCGCAAUCAUCCUAUGUUUCGAUGAUUUGGCAUCUGUAUGAGCAAAGAAAGAGACUAAACGAUUCCUACUUCAGCAUACACUAGUCGAUGACAAAGUGACGGCAAAAGUUGUGCUGAUGGUGCAGUUUCUUGGGCAUGUAAAGGAUGAGAACAGCUCAUUGUUAUUGUAAAAUUCCUUCGUUUUGUGUUGCCCAGGUCAUUCUCUUGUUAACUUUUUCCCCUCAAUUUUUAGGAGCGUUCAUGUAAAUGCAUAAAUGAUUAUUGAAGAUUCUUCCUGUUACCUCUUUGCAAGGACUGUUUGAUUUUAAAAGAAAAAAGAAAAUUGAAAAAUUAGUCCGCUUCAGGGGCAUUCCACGUUUUGACCACCGUAUGUUCAUGUUAGUUUGCUGAGAGAUCACCGUGAUGCCUUAUCAUUUGUUUUCCAUUUUUGGUGUUCGCAUCACUAUUUGCUUUGUGUAUCUAGGCUCGUCUGUCUUAAGUAACAUUUACGAGCGGUGGGGGUGGGGAAGUCACUUUUACCUGGAGAAAACCUGAAACAUAGUACACCAUAACUUUUUUUUUUUCCCUCUUUUUGAGGGUAGUUCACCAUAAUGUUCAUUUUCUAAGGACAUGGACGUCAACUUGCGACGCAGCACUCGACACUAAUACUAAAUAAAAUCCCCAGCUACCCUAUCAUUCACCAUUCAAUUUUGUCCUUUUACAGAUCCCCUAAAUAACGAUCUUUUGCCACUUGAUGAGCAUUCAAAUUUGUAAACUCGUGGCAUCUAUGCCUCACCUCUCCAUCAUUUCCUUGCUUAAGAUUAUAAACACCGAGCUUCUCCAUUGCGUUAGCAAACGCUUGAAAGAAUGCUGUCUCAUUGGCCGCAUACAAAUCCACAAACGGCUUAGUCCUACCGUCCACGGCUAUAUCUUGAUCAGUUUGCAACAAUCCCAACCCAUGUUUCAGAUUCUUGUAAUACAUGUUAUCAAAUUUUCCCGGCGUGAACACGUCAAUAAAUGCCGACAUCUCAGGCUGCUUAGUGUAAUUCUCACAAAGUUUCCGCAAACGAUCGGCGUAUUGAGGAUUCAUGGCAGGGUCAGAUUGUGAAGUCUUGCUGAAGUUGAAUAUUCUGUCAGCAAACUCUUUGCAAUGGGCGAAUCCUAUAGUGUGUCCACCAACAAGAGCAACCAUUUCUUGCACUGAAAGCCCUUUAGAGCCGAAGACAUCAAUAAUUUGAGAUAACGAAAGAUUAGUGGUAGGGAUAUUGCCUUGAACGUGAGAAGCAUCAGAAACAAUGCUAUCUUUACGUCCCAAAAGGACUUUAUAAUGGGGGCCACCCACCAUAACAAGAAGGUUACGCGUUGCCACAGAAAUGAUAUCAGAACAUGAGACAACGCCGGGACAUUGUAGCUCAAGGGCUGUUUUUGCACGUGUUACUAGGUCAAACGCAUCCCCCGGGAGGGGGAGGUUGACGUCGGCAUCUCGCUCGGACUUAUGGAAGGCGUUGGAGGUGAUGAGGACGGAUGCAUCACAGCCGUCGACUAAGCAGUCAUGGAGGAAGAGGCGGAGGACGCCGGCGGCUGUCGCGGGGGCAGAGAGUUGCUUGUCCGUAAUGACUUGUUGCAUUAUUAGUGGGAACUGAGGGCAUGUGCUGUUGUAGUAGUUAAGAGCAAGUUGGGAUUGUGUACGUUGAAUAAUUGUCAAGAAGGAACACGAGAUCAGAACGAUGGAAAUGGAAGAGAAUUGAGCCAUCGUUUGGUAUGAUAAUUGAAGAGAGCAAAAAACAAAUGUGAUGGGGAAAUUAACGUUCAUUUUCUUUUUCUUUAAUUUCUUAUAUAUUGUAGAUUUUGUGGAAGAGAGAGUUUAAAGGAUUACUUCCUAGUUGGUUCGCUCAUACAUACAUGGUUUAGCUAGCGGUGACUGAUUAAGGGGCUUGAUGUGCCUAUUUUAAUUUGGUCAAUAAUAUCCUUGUGGGGUGGCGAAUUAUUUAGAGGAUUAAUGGAAAUAUAGAAAACUUGAAAUAGAACGAUGCAUCUUAAAAUUAUUUUUAAUCGUAUUCUAAAAAUAAUCGGUUAUGAAGAAAAUUAAUUAAAUGUUUGGUGAAAUUUAUUUUUAAAAGUACUAUGAGUUUUAAAAACAGUCGUAUGAAUUUGAUAAAUGUUACUGUUGAAAUGUUGUAAGAAAAUUUAUUUACACAUUUAUAAACAUGUAUAUAUAAUAAUUGAUAAUUAAAAUAAUUUUUUUAUUCCAUAAAUUUUAUUUUUUUUAUUUUACCAUCUCAAUAGAAUUAGUAACAAUAAUAAUCUUUUUAAAUUUAAUAAUUUUAUUUCCUAGCUAAACGAGGAUAAUUUUGUAUUUUAAUAAUAUAUGUGAGGAUAUAUAUGAACUUGUAUUCAUUAUAAAUUUGAUUUUUAAAAUCAAAUUUUAAAAAAUUACACAUUCUUUACUUUUCAAAAUUUAUGAUAGGAUUGACGAUUUUAUUAAAAGUAUUUUUUUAAAAAAAAAUUACUAAACAUAAAAAUUAAUUUUUAACAUUUUAAAAUUACUUUUAAACCUCUUAAAAACAAUUCCAAAUUAUCCUAAAUGAAUGCGUGUAUGUUCGCUCUGGUGCACACACAGGAAGUGAAUAAAUUUGCAACAGCAUACGCUUUCGGCAAUUUUAUCCAUGUAGGUGUUGUGAUUAAUUGUUGACAUCGAAAUUGACCGCCUCGGCGUCCUGUGGACUCGUGCUGCAAAUAUUACGAUACACGAAAUGUCACGUUACCAGCUGGUUGUGAUUUUUAAACACGAUAUAAUUUGUAUAACAUCAUGUCAUAUGUCACAUUAAUUUAUACUCCAACUUCUUAAAUUAUGAUAUUAUUAUUUAAUUAGCUAUAUGGUAUUGAAUGAUGUAUGCGUUAGUUCUAUUAUUUUAAUUUAGUCCAAAUUCAGAUGGCUUUUUACACAGUAAUUGAUUCGAUCCAAGACUCUUUCUUCGAAGAAAAACAAAAUGUUAGUAAUUUGAUCAAAUAUGGACUUUUAGCUGUUACUAUUUUUAUAAUAUUUAAUAAUGUUUUUGACAUCAUAAUUUUAUAAUAUUAUUUUAAUUUUUAAAUAUAUUUUUAUUCAUAUUUAUUAUAAAUUAAAUAAGUUAUAUAAAUUGAAAUUAUAAUUAAAAAAUUAAUACUGCUGUACCGUACAUCCGCCUUGGCCGUACAGCAGAAAAUCUCGGAAGGCAGGAAAUGGUCAGUGGUGAGUGGCGAGGUGACGAACUGACAAUGACGACACGCGAAAGAAUUGAAAAUUCUUUGGUCGCGAUCACAUCAUCCAACGGUGCAUGAUGGAUAACCAUUAAAGUUGAGCUGGGUCCCACUCAUGUGCAAGUCCUCACCGGACCCAACUUCCGGAGGGCAUACUUUUGGCAUGUGCUUAUAACUUGAACUUUCCUCUUCGGUGGCAUCAUUUCAGGCGUCCCUACAUCACACAGCGCACGGUUGCUUCAUUUUCCUCCACAAAUAGUUAAAUUAAUAUGUUGCACAAUUAUUUCAUGUUACACGAGUUGAGUUCCAAGUAUUCAAUAUAAUUUUUAUCUUCAUUUUUCACACAACAUCGAACGCGGAGCUUGUGAAAGCUAAAUCCGUGAUAAAUCAUCAUGGAUUCAAAUUUUAGAAUAAUGAUAAACGCAGCAUAAAUUAAGUAGAAAUUAAAAAAAAAAAAUCUGUAUCCCAAUUAAUGACAAUGUGUUAGAAAAUACGACUCUAUAAUUACGCGGUUAUUUAACGAUUAAUUAUCCAAAUGGUGAGAUUGUGUUAGGGUCAAAUCAAUUUAUUAUUCCUACACAAGAUGAUUCGCAAAUUAUCACAUAUAUCGACUUUCAACGGUAAAUCUCAACCGCUAAAGCUAAUGAAAGUUCAAUCAUGGUAAUUUGAUUCGUGCGCUCUAUUCACCAGAAUUUACAAAGGAAUCUACUUACUUUUCGGAUAAUGCAUUUAUGUUUAUCCUUUUUUUUUUUAAUUAAAAAAGCGAGAACAUUAAAUUCCUUUUGAAUAAAUGGAUUUUUAAAAAAAAAUGAUAAAAUGAAUGUAAUCUGUAAAAAAGGGUACAGAAAUACAAAUUAUUAAACAUUGACGCGUUUUUAUCACUAAAAAAAAAGAAAUACAAAAUCAAUAAAAUGAAAAAAAGGUGCUCUAAUUAAUUCACGUUCCUACACAACCAAAAAAGAUAGCCUCAAUUCAUGGCCAUCAUGAAAUUGUCAAAAAUCUGCGGUGAUUUAUCAUCCAUGUGAUACAUGAGGCUCAAGCCAAUUUUCCUCUAAUGUACGUAUGCGACAUGGUAGCUUCUUGGUAAUUAAUUCAAAGUAUCGUCUUUGAAAAAUUGUGUCAAAAUUCGACUAAAAUAAAUAAAAUUAUCAUUCUUUUACAAAUAAUUUGCAUAUGUAUGUGGGGCUCCAUCUAAGUUUUGAUCAUGUAUGUAUAAAGUGAGAUUAUUUUAACUUAAAUUGUCAACAUAAAUUUUAAGCCAUUGACCUUACACAAUAUUGAAAAUUAAAAUAAUAUUUAAUGUUAUCAGAUAAUCAACAAUUGGAUUGCGGAAAAUCAAAGACUCAAUUUUAUGUAUUUAUUGUACAUGGGAUCCAGCUACUAGUGGCUUUAUAUAUGUAAAAUUUUAUAAAUUUAUAUAAAAUUGUUAACACAAGUUUUUUUGCUCUUUAAAUUUAUGACAAUGCUCUAGUUCGAUAAAUAUUUAUAUAUUUAUAUUAGUUAUUCUGCCACUCAUUAUUAAAAUUCUCUAACAAAGUUCAAAUUUUUUUUUUAUUUUUCCUUAUAUUUGAAAUUUAAUUAGUCAGCCGGACAAGAUUAUUGACUUGUCAUUCGUAUGUCUGAACCAAUGAAUGAAGUCAUCAAAUAAAAUAAUGUUGACAAUUUUUUAUAUUAUUAAAUUCACCUCUCAUAUACAUUAUCACGAUCGCCAUUAAUAUUUUAUCAAAUGGACAUAUGUAUGAUGAGUGGGUGUAUAAGUUUAUGGGGAGUUUCUUCUAAUAAAAUGAAUAUAUAUCACUUGCCUGUUACUAUUUUUAUAAUAUUUAAUAAUGUUUUUGACAUCAUAAUUUUAUAAUAUUAUUUUAAUUUUUAAAUAUAUUUAGAUUCAUAUUUAUUAUAAAUUAAAUAAGUUAUAUAAAUUGAAAUUAUAAUUAAAAAAUUAAUAUAAAAAAUAAGAAAUACAGGUUUGAUAUGAAUAAAAAAAUCAAUUAUAAAAUAUUUUUCUUUUAUUUUUUAGUCAUUUUAAAAUAUUUUUCUUUAAACAGCAGAAUAAAUAUAUAUUUUACGUAUAUUCAUAAAAUUAUAUAUUAAACAAUGAUCUAUUCACUAAGUGCAUCAAAUUUUCUUUAAUUUUUUUUAAUACAAAAAAAGUUUUGAAUAUUAUGAAACUGAAAUAAGUAGUAUAUAUUAAUUUUAAUUUAGAGAACCGACGAUCUCCAUAUCUAUGUGUACGUAUAUAUUUACGCGCGUGUAUAUACAAUAUUAGUUAAGUUGCGUACUAAUAAAAAGCGAUUGCUCAUAAGAUUACAAAUCCACAACUAUUUCAUCACCAUUCUCCAACUUGGCAAUGGCUUUUCAUCCACUACGACACGCUCUCUUCAUCUUCAUCUCCAUAACUAUCUUUGCUUCUUUGAACUUUCUGCUUUCUUCUAACGAAAAGAGCUUGAAUUUUCAAACAAGCAAAAGUCAAAAUAGUUCCAUAAAAAGCCGGAUAAUUGAGCUGGCCAAUGAUCAAGACACGGUGAACUGGAUGAAAAAGAUGAGGAGGCAAAUUCAUGAGAACCCAGAACUUGCUUACGAAGAGUUUGAGACCAGUGAGCUCAUUAGGCGAGAACUUGACCAACUUGGUAUUGCUUAUCGAUGGCCAGUAGCAAAGACUGGUGUUGUGGCCACCGUUGGAUCUGGCUCUCCUCCUUUUGUUGCUUUAAGAGCGGAUAUGGAUGCUUUGCCAAUUCAGGUCAGUUGUAUAAUUAAUUAAUACUUCAUCAUAUGAUGUAGAUAUUAAAUUUUUGAAGUGCUAGCUUUGAAGAAUAGAAUCUGCACAACACGGCAACAAAAUAAUAUCUUUUAAAAUUGUGUUCUGUGGACUAAAUGUGUUAAGAGCCGUGACCCACAGGUGAGGAAGCUGAUUCUUGGCUGCUUUUGUUAAUUUAAUAAUACACAAUUAGACUGGAACAUGUGAUACAAAGUUUCAACAUAAUAAAACAAAAGUUCAAAUUGGCAGUCAUAAGUAACAAAGAUUUAGAAAGCUUGGCAUCAAAAAGUAUACACCUGACCGCUCUCUCUUUAAUUGUUCUAUUCAUCAUUUCUAGGGGUGGGCACAGGUCGGGUAGCAUGUAGAGCGAGUUGAAAAAUUUCAACCCAACCCAACCCAUUACAUACUGCUGUACCGUACAUCCGCAUAUAUAUAUAUAUAUAUAUAUGUGAUUUUUCAGCGUAGCUCGCUGUAAUUGAUGUCGAUGAUUAGGAGCUUUAAACCAGUAGACCAGCUUGUUAUUUUGUUGAAAAGAAAAAUCAAGGACAGAGAUAUUAAACACGGCGUUAAUAGAUGCUUCUGUGGGACAUAUUGCUGAGAAGCACCCUGUCAUUAAUUACUUCAUGAAGGGCUGAAAGUCGCCACAUUCUUAUUAUUUAAGAAUAUUUUAAUAUGUCCCGCUAUUUUUAAUUUUAUACUGUAAUAAUCGUUAAAUCCCCAGCUGACUUGCUAAGGCAGAUGCUUUGUCCAUCAUUAUAUUUUCCACUUUUCACUGUAUGCUCUCUCUAUUAAAUACAUCUUGGCUAUGCGUGACGAGGACAUAGACGAAGGAAAAAUAAAUUUUAUUUUCAUCUAGUUAAAGCAUAAAUGCUAUUGGGUAUGUCCAUUCUUAAUUUGUUCAGAUUUUUACCAGGCAAUUAAUUAAUUAAGUUGUGCUGCUUUUUAAUAUAAAUCGAUCAAAAUUUUCAAGUUAAAAUGAGCAUAUGUUUUUAAGGGUGGCGUUUAUGCUUAACUCUGAACACACGCCACUUUCAUGCCAAACGGUUCUGCCUCUUUGCAGGAAUUGGUAGAAUGGGAACACAAGAGCAAAAUAGAUGGGAAAAUGCAUGCCUGUGGCCAUGAUGCGCAUGUCGCAAUGCUCCUUGGUGCUGCAAAGAUUCUGCAAGAAAUGCGUGAAACAUUGAAGGUAAUUGGUGGAAUUAUUUAUUCAAAAUUUUGCUAAAAAGUUCAGAAUUUUCUCCUCCUCCUUUCUUUAAAACCGAAUUAAUUUUCAUUUGGUGUUCUGACACAGGGCACUGUCGUUCUCAUAUUUCAACCAGCUGAGGAACGAGGAACAGGUGCAAAAGAUAUGAUUCAAGAAGGUGUUCUUGAAAAUGUAGAGGCCAUUUUUGGAUUGCAUUUGGUGCAUAAGUAUCCCACUGGCGUUGUUGCUUCACGGCCUGGAGAUUUUCUAGCUGGUUGUGGGAGCUUUAAGGCCAAAAUCAGUGGUAAAGGAGGCCAUGCUGCAAUCCCACAACACUGCAUUGAUCCAAUUUUGGCAGUUUCAUCGUCAGUCAUUAGCUUGCAGAAUAUUGUUUCCAGGGAAAUAGACCCAUUAGAUUCUCAGGUAAUUAUUCGACAUACACGCUUAAUCAGAAUUUCGAGCUUUCCCUGCCCCUAACAAGAAAGUUUGGUCAUGGCAGGUGGUUUCGGUAGCUAUGAUCAAUGGAGGGAGUUCAUACAACAUGAUCCCAGACUCGGCUACAGUUGCUGGAACUUUUAGAGCUUUCAACAAAAAGAGGUUCAAUGCACUUAGAGAAAGAAUCGAAGAGGUACUAAUUUAAUUACUGCACUAAUUCUAAAGGCCAUUAAUAUCAUAUUAAGGUUCACAAAUAAAAUUUCUUUGAUUUGUUCAAGAUUAUCAAAGGGCAGGCGGCUGUUCAUCGGUGCUCCGCUGAAGUUGAUUUUUCAGGAAGGGAGCAUCCUACACUCCCUCCGACCAUGAAUGAUGUGAGAAUAUAUCAACAUGUACGGCGUGUCACGGCUGAAAUAUUAGGUGAAGAAAACGUCAAACUAGCUCCAAUAUUCACAGGGAGUGAAGAUUUUGCUUUCUUUUUAGAUGAAAUACCAGGAUCAUUUCUAUUAUUAGGAAUGCUAAAUGACAGUGUUGGAUCUUUGUACCCUCUGCACAGUCCUUAUUUUACCAUUGAUGAGAAUGUGCUUCCCAUUGGAGCUGUAAUUCACGCCGCUUUUGCUCAUUCUUACCUUGUAAAUUCCGGAAAACUAAGUUAAUUGAAGCAUAUAUAUAUUAGCAUACGGCAUAUAUAUGUAAAUGUACAUUUCUAGCCAGCACUAGAAGCUUAAGGCAGCCAAUUUUUGCCUUUAUCAUUGGUAUUUUGGUUUCCAGGAGAAGGGAGUUGGUUGGUUUGCGGUUUGUUCAACAAGCAAAGCAUCAUUCGAAAAACCCAUAUUUGAUUAUCUGUUUGCAGUUUACCAUUUUGAUUCUGCAUGGGACAUUAGCUAGUUUGGAGUUUUAAUUAUUAAUUAAUGCGGCGGCAUCUGUGUUUUCACCUGAUACAAUACAUUGCAUCUCAUGUCUAUUGUGACUGUGGUGUGCGGCUUAUCAAUUAAUAAACAUCAAUAACCAGACUAAUAGUAUAUAUAUAUAUAUAGCUAGAUUAAUUAAGUAAUAGAAACCAUCAUGGUUCACGACACUAUUCAGUAAAGAUAAAAAUAUAUAUCCACCCAAAACUAAAAAGUAAAAAACAUACAUAAAGCAAACAACGUCGACACAUGCAAUACCAAAAAAAACCUGAAGAAAAAGAGAAGCGAGAAACAUAGACAACACACUAAGAGUCUGAGAACGGCAGAAGCUUUCUAAAGACCAAGAAAAGCGACAAUGAAGGCAAGGAAUCCAAUCAUCAUCGACGGCGAUACGAGGUUGCCAAGAUUAUCCGGGGAUGAUGGGCCGGGGAAUGGAGACAUAGGCAUAUUAGGCAUAUUCGGGUCCAUGGCGACCGCGGCCAUGGCCAACACAGCAAAACAAACCGCGAACAUGGUUGCUCUCGUGCUAGAAGCCAUUUUUAUUUACGACUUGUGAGGAUUGAUCGAUGGAUGAAAGAAUACUGGCUGCCGAUUUGUAUUUAUACUGUUUGGAUGAUACAGGUUCGAUAAGGCCAAAGGAAUUAAUCCAGGGCUGUGCCGUCAUCUAAAUUAUUCGAC
rnacentral:lncRNA from 1 species